GCGCACGUGGCGAAAUUGGUAGACGCACUACUUUGAGGUGGUAGCGGGAGCAAUCCUGUGGAAGUUCGAAUCUUCUCGUGCGCACUA
rnacentral:tRNA from 1 species